GGAUCCAGACUUUGAUCCUGGCUCAGGAUGAACGCUAGCGGCAGGCCUAAUACAUGCAAGUCGAACGGGAUUGAGAGCUUGCUUUCAUGAGAGUGGCGUACGGGUGCGUAACGCGUAUGCAACCUACCUUCAUCAGGGGGAUAGCCCGAAGAAAUUCGGAUUAACACCGCAUAAAAACACAACCUGGCAUCAGGAAAUGUUCAAAUAUUUAUAGGAUGAAGAUGGGCAUGCGUGUCAUUAGCUAGUUGGUGAGGUAACGGCUCACCAAGGCGACGAUGACUAGGGGAUCUGAGAGGAUGACCCCCCACACUGGUACUGAGACACGGACCAGACUCCUACGGGAGGCAGCAGUAAGGAAUAUUGGUCAAUGGAGGCAACUCUGAACCAGCCAUGCCGCGUGCAGGAAGACAGCCCUAUGGGUCGUAAACUGCUUUUAUACGGGAAUAAACCUUGAUUCGUGAAUCAAGCUGAAUGUACCGUAAGAAUAAGGAUCGGCUAACUCCGUGCCAGCAGCCGCGGUAAUACGGAGGAUCCAAGCGUUAUCCGGAUUUAUUGGGUUUAAAGGGAGCGUAGGCGGCUUGUUAAGUCAGGGGUGAAAGACGGUGGCUUAACCAUCGCAGUGCCUUUGAUACUGACGAGCUUGAAUAUAGUUGAGGUAGGCGGAAUGUGACAAGUAGCGGUGAAAUGCAUAGAUAUGUCACAGAACACCGAUUGCGAAGGCAGCUUACUAAGCUAUUAUUGACGCUGAGGCUCGAAAGCGUGGGGAUCAAACAGGAUUAGAUACCCUGGUAGUCCACGCCCUAAACGAUGAUAACUCGAUGUUGGCGAUAUACAGUCAGCGUCCAAGCGAAAGCGUUAAGUUAUCCACCUGGGGAGUACGCCCGCAAGGGUGAAACUCAAAGGAAUUGACGGGGGCCCGCACAAGCGGAGGAGCAUGUGGUUUAAUUCGAUGAUACGCGAGGAACCUUACCCGGGCUUGAAAGUUAGUGAAUCAUUUAGAGAUAGAUGAGUCCGCAAGGACACGAAACUAGGUGCUGCAUGGCUGUCGUCAGCUCGUGCCGUGAGGUGUUGGGUUAAGUCCCGCAACGAGCGCAACCC
rnacentral:rRNA from 1 species